rfam:Drosophila sucinea retrotransposon R2 reverse transcriptase gene, partial cds.
GCUUGAUCUCUGUAUUUGUUUCUAUUUUGAACAUUUGCCUGCUACCUUGGCAUAACAUCAAUAAGGUACAAACAUCGCAAAAAGUCAUCAUAAGGUGGGUUUUAGUACGUAGGCGCUGUAGAACUUAAUUGUUCUGAUAGAGCAGCGAGUCGUGCAUGCUAGUCUAACAUUUCUUGCUACCUAGUAUCUUUAGAAGAUUUCCCUCCCUUAGCGGUC